rnacentral:rRNA from 1 species
GAGGGGCAGCAUGGUCUUAGCUUGCUAAGGCUGAUGGCGACCGGCGCACGGGUGAGUAACACGUAUCCAACCUGCCGUCUACUCUUGGCCAGCCUUCUGAAAGGAAGAUUAAUCCAGGAUGGGAUCAUGAGUUCACAUGUCCGCAUGAUUAAAGGUAUUUUCCGGUAGACGAUGGGGAUGCGUUCCAUUAGAUAGUAGGCGGGGUAACGGCCCACCUAGUCAACGAUGGAUAGGGGUUCUGAGAGGAAGGUCCCCCACAUUGGAACUGAGACACGGUCCAAACUCCUACGGGAGGCAGCAGUGAGGAAUAUUGGUCAAUGGGCGAUGGCCUGAACCAGCCAAGUAGCGUGAAGGAUGACUGCCCUAUGGGUUGUAAACUUCUUUUAUAAAGGAAUAAAGUCGGGUAUGCAUACCCGUUUGCAUGUACUUUAUGAAUAAGGAUCGGCUAACUCCGUGCCAGCAGCCGCGGUAAUACGGAGGAUCCGAGCGUUAUCCGGAUUUAUUGGGUUUAAAGGGAGCGUAGAUGGAUGUUUAAGUCAGUUGUGAAAGUUUGCGGCUCAACCGUAAAAUUGCAGUUGAUACUGGAUGUCUUGAGUGCAGUUGAGGCAGGCGGAAUUCGUGGUGUAGCGGUGAAAUGCUUAGAUAUCACGAAGAACUCCGAUUGCGAAGGCAGCCUGCUAAGCUGCAACUGACAUUGA